rnacentral:snRNA from 1 species
GAACCGUCUCUAAGCGCA